AUUGAACGCUGGCGGCAUGCUUUACACAUGCAAGUCGAACGGCAGCACGGACUUCGGUCUGGUGGCGAGUGGCGAACGGGUGAGUAAUACAUCGGAACGUGCCCAGUUGUGGGGGAUAACUACUCGAAAGAGUAGCUAAUACCGCAUGGGAACUGAGGUUGAAAGCAGGGGAUCGUAAGACCUUGCGCAACUGGAGCGGCCGAUGGCAGAUUAGGUAGUUGGUGGGAUAAAAGCUUACCAAGCCGACGAUCUGUAGCUGGUCUGAGAGGACGACCAGCCACACUGGGACUGGGACACGGCCCAGACUCCUACGGGAGGCAGCAGUGGGGAAUUUUGGACGAUGGGCGAAAGCCUGAUCCAGCAAUGCCGCGUGCAGGAUGAAGGCCUUCGGGUUGUAAACUGCUUUUGUACGGAACGAAAAGCUUCGGGCUAAUACCCUGGAGUCAUGACGGUACCGUAAGAAUAAGCACCGGCUAACUACGUGCCAGCAGCCGCAGUAACAC
rnacentral:rRNA from 1 species